AGGGAGCUUGCUCCCGGAUGUUAGCGGCGGACGGGUGAGUAACACGUGGGUAACCUGCCUGUAAGACUGGGAUAACUCCGGGAAACCGGAGCUAAUACCGGAUAGUUCCUUGAACCGCAUGGUUCAAGGAUGAAAGACGGUUUCGGCUGUCACUUACAGAUGGACCCGCGGCGCAUUAGCUAGUUGGUGGGGUAAUGGCUCACCAAGGCGACGAUGCGUAGCCGACCUGAGAGGGUGAUCGGCCACACUGGGACUGAGACACGGCCCAGACUCCUACGGGAGGCAGCAGUAGGGAAUCUUCCGCAAUGGACGAAAGUCUGACGGAGCAACGCCGCGUGAGUGAUGAAGGUUUUCGGAUCGUAAAGCUCUGUUGUUAGGGAAGAACAAGUGCGAGAGUAACUGCUCGCACCUUGACGGUACCUAACCAGAAAGCCACGGCUAACUACGUGCCAGCAGCCGCGGUAAUACGUAGGUGGCAAGCGUUGUCCGGAAUUAUUGGGCGUAAAGGGCU
rnacentral:rRNA from 1 species